CCUACGGGUGGCAGCAGUGAGGAAUAUUGGUCAAUGGACGAGAGUCUGAACCAGCCAAGUAGCGUGAAGGAUGACUGCCCUAUGGGUUGUAAACUUCUUUUAUAUGGGAAUAAAAUGUUCCACGUGUGGGAUUUUGUAUGUACCAUAUGAAUAAGGAUCGGCUAACUCCGUGCCAGCAGCCGCGGUAAUACGGAGGAUCCGAGCGUUAUCCGGAUUUAUUGGGUUUAAAGGGAGCGUAGGGGGAUUUGUAAGUCAGUUGUGAAAGUUUGCGGCUCAACCGUAAAAUUGCAGUUGAAACUGGCAGUCUUGAGUACAGUAGAGGUGGGCGGAAUUCGUGGUGUAGCGGUGAAAUGCGUAGAUAUCACGAAGAACUCCGAUUGCGAAGGCAGUUCACUGGACUGCAACUGACACUGAGGCUCGAAAGUGUGGGUAUCAAACAGGAUUAGAUACCCGAGUAGUC
rnacentral:rRNA from 1 species